GUUUUUCAAUAUUUUUUCCCCUGGUACUUGUAUUGUCCGUUUCUGAACCACUAAGAAGUAAAUUUUGCCUUUCCUUUGCAAUUUUCCUGCUCACCUCUUUCUCCACUCUGGUUCCGGUGCGGUGCCGGUGCCUCAGUUGCCCCGCGGCUCUGGAAAGCUGCCCCUCUGCUGAUGCCCGAAGCGGUGCUGCUGCUGCCACGCCGCUUCCUGAUACCUCUCGCAGCCGGGGCCAGGCCGGAGCUCCGCCGGGACGCAGCGGGCUGAGCCGUUGCCUCUCUCUCUCCGCCCGGGGCCGG
rnacentral:lncRNA from 1 species